GACAGAGGGUGCAAACGUUGUUCGGAAUUACUGGGCGUAAAGCGCGUGUAGGCUGCUUCGCAGGUCGGGUGUGAAAGCCCUGGGCUCAACCUAGGAAGUGCACUCAAAACUGCGAAGCUGGAGUCCUGGAGAGGAAGGCGGAAUUCUCGGUGUAGAGGUGAAAUUCGUAGAUAUCGAGAGGAACACCGGUGGCGAAGGCGGCCUUCUGGACAGUGACUGACGCUGAGACGCGAAAGCGUGGGGAGCAAACAGG
rnacentral:rRNA from 1 species